rnacentral:rRNA from 1 species
UACGGAGGGGGCAAGCGUUAUUCGGAAUCACUGGGCGUAAAGCGCGUGUAGGCGGGUUGACAAGUCAGGUGUGAAAUCCCACGGCUCAACCGUGGAAUUGCACUUGAUACUGUUGACCUAGAGUCUGGCAGAGGGUGGCGGAAUUCCCGGUGUAGGGGUGAAAUCCGUAGAUAUCGGGAGGAACACCAGAGGCGAAGGCGGCCACCUGGGCCAAUACUGACGCUGAGGUGCGAAAGCGUGGGGAGCAAACAGG